rnacentral:rRNA from 1 species
AUGGCCGAAAUCAGUGAUGCCCCAGCAGUUACUUCCGGUGAGCUUGCGGCUAUAUUGCGAGCGAUGGAUGAGAAAUACAGGGCUCUGUUUGAUGCAAUCAGCAAGCAAGCUAGCAGCUCCAAAUCAGAGGCUGAAAUAAAGGAGGAGAUACAUCCCUUACAGAUGCCACAUGUGAAGUUAGAGGGUCCUGAGAACUAUGUAAGCUGGGCUGAGCAUGCUGAAACCAUCCUGGUUUCAAGGAAAUUGGAAGGAUACAUACUUGGGACAGUAGAGAAACCCGAGGAAGAAGGUUCAAAAGAAGGCCAAAAAUGGAGAGCAGCCAAUGCUUUGGUCAGGGCAUGGCUUCUGAGUUCGAUGUCUUCUCAGAUUGCAAAGCAGGUUGAGAGAAUCAAAGAUGCUUCAGAGAUUUGGAGGCUCCUGAGAGGCACAUAUUCAGGAGUGGGAAAUGAGAUGUUAGCAUGCAAAAUUCAAAAGGAGUUGCAGGAGCUGAGCCAAGGUGAGAGAACAGUGGUGGAAUAUGUGUCUGAACUUAAAACGUUGUGGAGUGACCUGGACUACUAUGAUCCAGUUGAAAUGGAGUGUGGGAAAUGUAUUGAGAAGCAUAGUAAGUGGACUGAGAGGAGACGUGUUAGAGACUUCCUAAAUGGCCUCCAUCCCAUGUUUGAAAAUAGGAGAGCAGCUCUAUAUGGUAGUGGGUAG